rnacentral:rRNA from 1 species
UUGACCUCGGAUCAGGUAGGAAUACCCGCUGAACUUAAGCAUAUCAAUAAGCGGAGGAAAAGAAACCAACAGGGAUUGCCCUAGUAACGGCGAGUGAAGCGGCAACAGCUCAAAUUUGAAAUCUGGCUCUCGGGCCCGAGUUGUAAUUUGUAGAGGAUACUUUUGAUGCGGUGCCUUCCGAGUUCCCUGGAACGGGACGCCAUAGAGGGUGAGAGCCCCGUCUGGUUGGAUGCCAAAUCUCUGUAAAGUUCCUUCAACGAGUCGAGUAGUUUGGGAAUGCUGCUCUAAAUGGGAGGUAUAUGUCUUCUAAAGCUAAAUACCGGCCAGAGACCGAUAGCGCACAAGUAGAGUGAUCGAAAGAUGAAAAGCACUUUGAAAAGAGAGUUAAAAAGUACGUGAAAUUGUUGAAAGGGAAGCGUUUAUGACCAGACUUGGGCUUGGUUAAUCAUCUGGGGUUCUCCCCAGUGCACUUUUCCAGUCCAGGCCAGCAUCAGUUUUCCCCGGGGGAUAAAGGCGGCGGGAAUGUGGCUCUCUUCGGGGAGUGUUAUAGCCCACCGUGUAAUACCCUGGGGGGGACUGAGGUUCGCGCAUCUGC